rnacentral:rRNA from 1 species
CUUAACACAUGCAAGUCGAGGGGCAGCAUGGUCUUAGCUUGCUAAGGCCGAUGGCGACCGGCGCACGGGUGAGUAACGCGUAUCCAACCUGCCUUACACUCUUGGACAGCCUUCUGAAAGGGAGAUUAAUACAAGAUGUUAUCAUGAGUAAGCAUUUUCGCAUGAUUAAAGGUUUACCGGUGUAAGAUGGGGAUGCGUUCCAUUAGAUAGUAGGCGGGGUAACGGCCCACCUAGUCUUCGAUGGAUAGGGGUUCUGAGAGGAAGGUCCCCCACAUUGGAACUGAGACACGGUCCAAACUCCUACGGGAGGCAGCAGUGAGGAAUAUUGGUCAAUGGACGAGAGUCUGAACCAGCCAAGUAGCGUGAAGGAUGAAGGUUCUAUGGAUUGUAAACUUCUUUUAUACGGGAAUAAACGGAUCCACGUGUGGAUUUUUGCAUGUACCGUAUGAACAAGGAUCGGCUAACUCCGUGCCAGCAGCCGCGGUAAUACGGAGGAUCCGAGCGUUAUCCGGAUUUAUUGGGUUUAAAGGGAGCGUAGAUGGGUUGUUAAGUCAGUUGUGAAAGUUUGCGGCUCAACCGUAAAAUUGCAAUUGAUACUGGCAGUCUUGAGUACAGUUGAGGUAGGCGGAAUUCGUGGUGUAGCGGUGAAAUGCUUAGAUAUCACGAAGAACUCCGAUUGCGAAGGCAGCUUACUAACCUGUAACUGACAUUGAUGCUCGAAAGUGUGGGUAUCAAACAGGAUUAGAUACCCUGGUAGUCCGCACGGUAAACGAUGAAUACUCGCUGUAGGCGAUAUACAGUCUGCGGCCAAGCGAAAGCAUUAAGUAUUCCACCUGGGGAGUACGCCGGCAACGGUGAAACUCAAAGGAAUUGACGGGGGCCCGCACAAGCGGAGGAACAUGUGGUUUAAUUCGAUGAUACGCGAGGAACCUUACCCGGGCUUAAAUUGCAACCGAAUAUGGCGGAAACGCUAUAGCUAGCAAUAGCGGUUGUGAAGGUGCUGCAUGGUUGUCGUCAGCUCGUGCCGUGAGGUGUCGGCUUAAGUGCCAUAACGAGCGCAACCCUUGCCGAUAGUUACUAACAGGUCAUGCUGAGGACUCUGUCGGGACUGCCAUCGUAAGAUGUGAGGAAGGUGGGGAUGACGUCAAAUCAGCACGGCCCUUACGUCCGGGGCUACACACGUGUUACAAUGGGGGGUACAGAGGGCUGCUACCACGCAAGUGGAUGCCAAUCCCAAAAACCUCUCUCAGUUCGGAUUGAAGUCUGCAACCCGACUUCAUGAAGCUGGAUUCGCUAGUAAUCGCGCAUCAGCCACGGCGCGGUGAAUACGUUCCCGGGCCUUGUACACACCGCCCGUCAAGCCAUGGGAGCCGGGGGUACCUGAAGUGCGUAACCGCAAGGAGCGCCCUAGGGUAAAACUGGUGACUGGGGCUAAGUCGU